GCCUGGAUAACUCAGUUGGUCAGAGCGUGGUGCUGAUAAUGCCAAGGUUGCAGGUUUGAUCCCCAUAUGGGACA
rnacentral:tRNA from 1 species